rnacentral:rRNA from 1 species
GAUGAACGCUGGCGGCGUGCCUAAUACAUGCAAGUCGAGCGAACGGACGAGAAGCUUGCUUCUCUGAUGUUAGCGGCGGACGGGUGAGUAACACGUGGAUAACCUACCUAUAAGACUGGGAUAACUUCGGGAAACCGGAGCUAAUACCGGAUAAUAUUUUGAACCGCAUGGUUCAAAAGUGAAAGACGGUCUUGCUGUCACUUAUAGAUGGAUCCGCGCUGCAUUAGCUAGUUGGCAAGGUAACGGCUUACCAAGGCAACGAUGCAUAGCCGACCUGAGAGGGUGAUCGGCCACACUGGAACUGAGACACGGUCCAGACUCCUACGGGAGGCAGCAGUAGGGAAUCUUCCGCAAUGGGCGAAAGCCUGACGGAGCAACGCCGCGUGAGUGAUGAAGGUCCUCGGAUCGUAAAACUCUGUUAUUAGGGAAGAACAUAUGUGUAAGUAACUGUGCACAUCUUGACGGUACCUAAUCAGAAAGCCACGGCUAACUACGUG